GCGAAAGUGGCGGAACUGGCAGACGCGCUGGACUUAGGAUCCAGUGGAGUAAUCCAUGGGGGUUCGACUCCCCCCUUUCGCA
rnacentral:tRNA from 1 species